UACGGAGGGUGCAAGCGUUAUCCGGAUUCACUGGGUUUAAAGGGUGCGUAGGUGAGGUGGUAAGUCAGUGGUGAAAUCUCCGAGCUUAACUUGGAAACUGCCAUUGAUACUAUCAUUCUUGAAUAUUGUGGAGGUCAGCGGAAUAUGUCAUGUAGCGGUGAAAUGCUUAGAUAUGACAUAGAACACCAAUUGCGAAGGCAGCUGGCUACACAUAUAUUGACACUGAGGCACGAAAGCGUGGGGAUCAAACAGG
rnacentral:rRNA from 1 species